UAUAGAUUUCACCAGUUGGAGCAUUAAUCAAACAUGGUCUUGUUCCAAACUUAGAAAGAUUCUCAAAGCAAUAUGAAUGUAAAGGAAGGUGAUUGGGGAUGUAGAUAUCAGGAAGCCUGGACUUGAAUAUGAUGUCCUUUUUUUGUUGCUUUAUUGUUUCAUUAUCAAUAGCCAUAAUGAGAUGAGAUUAAUGGAGUGUGAGUGUGUUGUGUUGUGUUGUGUUAUGCCCUGAGAAGAAAGAACAAGAGCUAUGAAAGUAUUUGUAAUGAAGAGUUGGUUAAGGUGAUGAACUAAAAAAGACAAAGGAUUGGUUAAGGUGGUGGUUGGUAAGGGAUAAAAUAGAGAUUUAAGAUAAUGUUGAAAGGUAAUGAAUAAAUAUGGAAAAUGUAUAGCAUAAGUAAUGAAAUAAAGAUAGAUGGUGGUUUUGGUUGGUGUGGAGUUGAACAUAGGGGUUGGUGAAUGAAUGAAUGGUUUUGAUUUUUGGAGUGUUAAAAUGGUGGGGGUCAAAUCAAACCUACCACAAGACCAUUUCUUUUUAGAUCAUAGGUACAUACAUGAAUAAUGAAUAAUGCACAUUUUAUAUGGAUGCAUUCACAUUAUGUACAAUGCCACUUGGAUUCUCUCUUCUCUCUUCUUCACCUACUACACCAUGACGAUAGCAGCCAUCAUUCAGUAUUAUUAUACCACUAUAUCAUCAAUCUUCUAUGUUGUAUGGAAAAUGUAAUUGUGUAAAUCACACAUUCACAAUACAUUUAAAUAUCACUUUCUUCUUUUGUUUUAAAUUUACUUCUUCUUUAUUUUUAAGUCUUUACUUUUUGGAUAAAAUAUGUUAAUGUGAAGCGGCUAAAUACUUUAAAUAAAACAAAAACACCAGGGAUAAAUUAAGUGUGUUGUAGCCCCUAUUUGUGACUGAUGUAAUUUUACCCUUGUUUUUUAAUUCGACCAAAGUUAAUGAUAGACUAAGAUCAAAAUCAGUAAAAAUACCAUGUUUAACUUUUUAAAAAAGCACUAAAGUUAGUAUAACAAAUCCAAAAACUAUUUUUAUAUAAUUGUUUAAUAGAACAAGAAGGAUGUAAAAAGUUAAAACUGAAUUUCAUUUCUACCAUUCCCUUAAAUAUUGUAUAUAUCACUCAAUUCAACUAGCAAACCAAUCCCCAUACUUGUAUAGUACAGUGAUACGAGACAUGCAAUUCAAUUGGUCAAAUGGGCUUAUGCAUCAAAAAAAAAAUUCAUAUUUUUCAAAUGAAACAUUAAGAAUUCAAACCUUAAACUCGAUAAUUGUUGGUAACAUAAUCGAUCAUUGAAUAUUAAAAAAAAAGAUUUAAUAUGUAUACAUCGACAAUGUAAGUGCUUUUUACACUGUCAACAAAUCUUCACUAAUAAUAAGAGCAUGAUAGUAGUUACUUGUACAUGGCUGACAAUGUACAAAUAAUAAUAAUGCAUACAAUAACAAUAUGGUAUUAAAGAAUGGAAUAUGCUCAAUUUGGAAACCCUGCUGCAAGCUUAGCCCUUAGAUCCUUUCUUAAUAUUUUGCCUGAAGGUGACUUGGGAAUGGCUUCAAUGAAGAAUACUCUAUUUAUUCUUUUAUAAAACACAACCUGCAUGCAUGCAUCACAUCACACACUACUAUAUUAAAUGAUAAUUGAAAAGGAAGAGAAUAUAAUUACCUGUUUUGAGAUGAACUGCUUAAUUUCAUCCUCAGUUGUGUCAAUAUCAGCAUUUGAUCUCACAACAAAUGCAACUGGGACCUCUCCAGCAGCUUCAUCCUUCAUUCUGAAAAUAUUAUUCAUUACAAUUUGUACCCAUCAUAUUUAAGUAAAUUAUGAUUCAUUUUAGUAUGAAAAGGGUAAGUAAAGUUACUGGACGACAGCAACAUCAGAGAUGUUAGGAUGAGAAAGAAGGAGAGCUUCAAGUUCAGCUGGAGCAACUUGAAAACCUUUGUAUUUGAUCAAUUCCUUAAGCCUAUCAACUAUGAACAAUUCGUCGUCAUCAUCUAUGUAUCCGAUGUCGCCUGUAUGCAACCAUCCUUCUUUGUCUAUCGUUCUCUUUGUUGCUUCCGGAUCAUUUAGAUAACCUAUGUAUUCAACACUUAACAAUAUUCAUGUCUACCAAUUAUAUGCCAAUGUUAUAUCCUAUACUAUAUAUAUAUAUAACAGGUGUUGUAUUGUAUUGUAUGCAUAGGAUAGGACCAUGUUCUGUCAUAUCCUCUGCCUCAUAUGCAUAUGUAAACAAUAAUGGCAAAUGAUAUUAGAGAAGAAUAUAGUAAACAAUACCUUUCAUGACUUGGUCACCUCUAAUACAAAUUUCACCAGGUUGAUUACGAGGUAAAGAAUUAUCAGUUUCAGGAUCCACAAUCUUCAUCUCUGCAUUUCUAACUACGCUUCCACAUGAACCUGCUUUUACAUCUAUUGGUUCUUUAGCAAAUGUUAAGCACAUUGCUAAUACUGGACCUGCUUCUGUCAUCCCAUAUCCCUGUAUUUAAUCAUUCAUUAGGUAUGUCAAUGCUUAUAAAAUCAAAAAUAUUAUGUAUACAACUACAACUUUAGUCUUAUAUGUCAAAUAACAUAGUUGUUACAAAAUAGGUGUGAGAUAUAUGAUGAGUUUUUGAUGAUGUAUCAUGAUACCUGUCCAAGUUUGGCAUUGGGGAAUUUGGCCCUGACAGUUUGUUCAAGAUCUUUGGAAAGAGGAGCUCCACCAGAUUUCAAGACCCUAAUGGAAGAUGUGUCAUGCUUAUCAAGAUCUGGUGACUUAGCAAUGGCCAACACAAUGGGUGGCACAACUGGUGCAAUACUAACUCUGUAUUUCUCAAUAAGACCAAACAAGGAAUUGAUGUCAAAUUUAGGCAUUAACAAAAUUGCAGCUUUGGCUCUCAACCCACAUAGAAACACAGAGUUGAGGGAAUAUAUGUGAAACAAAGGAAGCACACAUAGUAUAACAUCCUCAGAGUGAAAGUAAAGGUUUGGGUUUUCCCCAUCCACUUGUUGUGCUAUGCUAGUCACCAACCCCUUGUGUGUGAGCAUCACCCCUUUUGGCAACCCUGUUUAUACAAAUUUAGUAUAAUAAUAUAAUGUAUAAUAAAUAAGUCAUUUGAGGCUAAUAUAAUUCAUAAGUGAAGAUUGGAUUGUAAUAUUACCUGUUGUGCCUGAGGAAUAAGGCAAUGUGACCACAUCAUGAGAGUUGAUAUUUACUUGUGGCAUUUGAUUCUCAUCAGCCUCAAGCAGGUCAGAGAAAUGUAGAUGCCCUUCUUGUACAAGUGGAGGUGAAUCCACAAACAUAAGCUUGACAUCCAACAAAUCCUUGACUUUCUCAAAGUAGCUACCUUGUGUUAUAAGCAACUUGGCAUUGGAAGCUUUAGCUUGUUUAGCAAUCUCAGGUUGAGUAAAAAAGGGGUUGGCAGCAGUGGUAAUAGCACCUCUAAAAGAAGCACCAAGGAAAGCAAACACAAAUUGUGGACAGUUUGGGAGAAGAAGCAUGAUCACAUCACCUUGUUGAAUGCCUAAUUUGUUGAGUCCUGAGGCAACUUUUCUUGCAGUGAGCUCUACAUCAUAGUAAGUAUAGAUUUCACCAGUUGGAGCAUUAAUCAAACAUGGUCUUGUUCCAAACUUAGAAAGAUUCUCAAAGCAAUAUGAAUGUAAAGGAAGGUGAUUGGGGAUGUAGAUAUCAGGAAGCCUGGACUUGAAUAUGAUGUCCUUUUUUUGUUGCUUUAUUGUUUCAUUAUCAAUAGCCAUAAUGAGAUGAGAUUAAUGGAGUGUGAGUGUGUUGUGUUGUGUUGUGUUAUGCCCUGAGAAGAAAGAACAAGAGCUAUGAAAGUAUUUGUAAUGAAGAGUUGGUUAAGGUGAUGAACUAAAAAAGACAAAGGAUUGGUUAAGGUGGUGGUUGGUAAGGGAUAAAAUAGAGAUUUAAGAUAAUGUUGAAAGGUAAUGAAU
rnacentral:lncRNA from 1 species